rnacentral:lncRNA from 1 species
CAAAAUUGUGAUGUAAUUACGAGGAUUAUCACGCAUAAAUUGUCCAAUGUAAGGCUCGGGGUGAACAACUGGGAUUUUGAUAGAUGAAAGGUAGGGCUCUGGGCCAACACCACUAAGUAGCAGGAGUUGAGUGCUUCCAAUUGCUCCUGCACUCAAUAUAACCUCUCCCUUGCCAUGUAUGAAGGCCUUAUGUGACCUCCCUUUAGAAUCACUAUACACGAUUCCUCUAGCAGACAAACCUGCAUGGUUAGAACAGAUCGUAGUUAUUAUCGAAUUAUUGAAAACCGAAGAUAUCAAUUAACUGUUAAUCUAAUGGUAUUUCUCCUGUCAAUGUUCGAAUACCCUGCUCCAUUAACAAAGAAAUUAAAGUAAAAGAUGCAAAUAUAUGAAACGUACUUAGUGCGUUGGAAGAGAAUAUGAUUCUCUCUACUGUGGCAUGAACUGCAACUCGCAAGUUCUUUGGGUUUCCUAGAUUAAGCAAUUCCACAGCUCCAUGUCUCCUUCCCUGAUUGUCAAAAAGAGUACCCGUGACCUUACUUCCUGGAAUGUGAUUUAAAUUAUAUCCGUUGUCUGGACAAACACCAGCCUCUAACAAACCUUCCUUUACAACAGAUUGCCAAGGCGACACAUUCUGGGGGGAUAUGACAGUAUUUUCAACCCAUUGAUAGGCCUUGUUAACCAAAUCCAUGUCCCAUUCAAUUCCUGAGUUUCCAUAAAAUUCUUUUUCGGCUCUAGAGUAUAUACCAGUGUUGAUCAUGCUUGACCCACCAAGAACCCUGCCUCUUACAUUGGCCACACCAUCUUCGGAUGUGAACCUUUCAGCUGGCGUCUUUCCAUCGUCUUCUAGCGCGAGAGUUGUAAUAAUCCCAUCUUGGCGCAAAACACUUGGAUAUGCACUUGGAACACUGCCCUUUUCUAGCAGGAGAACCGAGUACUUUGCAGAUAAAGUUGCUGCUAAUGGGCAGCCUGCUGUACCCCCUCCAACUACAAUGUAGUCGUACACUUCUUCUAAUGGCAGAUCAGUGGAAUUAUAGACAAAUUUCAUGUAGCUUAAAUCUGCAAAAUAUGAAGAGAUGGAAGUAAUUAAAUUGUAUCAGGAGAACUGUUUGUUAUAUAAUACCAAUAUAUGCUAUCUCCUUUUCUCUUUUUCCUUUCUAUUUUUUUUGGGAAGAAUUAGAGUGAUACCCUUAAGCAUAGUUAGUACGAGCCUCUCGGUACACGCUUCCGUGACUGUGAGAAUCUUUUUUAAAAAAAUUUUAAAUUUAUUUUAGAAUUUAAAAAGAUAAUGGAUAGUUGUAUUCCAUAAAAAUAGAAUCUAUUAUCUAAUUUUUCUUUUAAUUUUAUUAUUUUUUUAAAUAUGAAAAAGUGUGAAUUUACCAUAUUAUCCUCAUUUAAUUAAUAAUUUGAAUUCUUAAUGUUUGCAUUAACCAAGGGCAUUUUCUGGUAUUUUGAAUGGUAUUUUGAUUUAUAUAUAUAUAUAUAGAUGUAACCGGACGGGAAAUUUUUUUAAAAAAUACGGUGAAAGAUUCAUCUAUUAUGUAAUUUUAUAAUAUUAUUUAUGUCAGUUUAUUAAUAAUAUGUGAGAAUAUGUGUAGAAUACAUGAAUUUUUUAUGUAUUAUUAAAAAAUUUAUAAAAAAUACAUGUAAUAAAAAUGUGUAUUUGAUAUGUGUACAUAAAAUGAAAAUAUUUAUAAAUAAAUAAUAAAUAAAAACUUAAGUACGUGUAUCUAUGAUACGAGUAUUCAUCAAAGUUUGGUGUUGUUAAAAAAUAUAUUUUUAUGUUUUUCAUUGGAACAAUAUUUCGAAUACAUAUUUAUGUAAAACAUUAUAGGUAAAAUAUAUUCGUAGGUACAUUUAUAUAAAUGUUAUCACACGAUUCACGCCCAUGAAUAUAUAUAUAUAUACAAAGAGCUUCCAUCGAAGGAUUCCUCAAAUACUUAUUUGAGGGACACCCUUUGUGGAGCCCACUCCGAAUUGUAUUCCACUAAUCCAAACUGUUUAUUUUGUAGAUACACAUUCAAAGAUCAUCUCUACAAAAAAUUACUUGAAUUCUAUAUCAUUUGACUAUUCAAUUGAGUUAUUGAAAUUUUAGUACUUUCUUGAAGCACCGUGUUCAUUGAUUUUGUAAGACACAAUUGGAUGUCGAAACGGUUAUAUAUAUAUAUAUAUGAAUGUACCUAUAAAUUUGUAUUUGUAUAUUCAAAAUAAUGUGCCAAAUAAUAAACGGACUAAAACAAAUUUGUGUCUGACUUCCCUUUUGUUAAAUUUGUUUUCCAUGUCAUGAUUCUUUCCAAAACUGAUUUCAAGAUACAUGAUGAAUUAUUGAGAAAAUAGUGAUUUACCGUGAUCAGAUGGAGUGGCGAAUGAUUGAACCUCAGAUUGAGGAUAGAAGACAGACAGGUACAAAAGAAACAAUACAACACCAAUUCUUGACUUUUCCAUGUCUUUUUAGCCAGGCUCACGUUUUUUCUCCUGAAAAAUUCAAAAGCAGUUUCAACAGCUUUUCAAGUAACACUAUAGACAAAGACAAAAAAGGAAAAAAAUAUUCUUUUUGACAAAGACAGAUUUCAAGACAGCAUACAUCCACUUUUGACCCAAAAGUCCUCUUUUUCUUCCUUUUUUCUUCCCUUGCAUGGAGUUUCUAGAUUGUAAAACUAUAGACCCAGAGGGCACUUCAAAAUUAGCGACAAUAAUUUUAAAUUGUUUUUAGAGUUAGGUUCACUAACACUUUUCUAAUUGGCAGUUAACCUUUUUUUGAAUCAAAACAAAUAGCUUUCAUUCAACUAUGAAGCAAACAAAAUACAAUCAGAAAUACUGGAGUCUUAAGUGCUACUGCUAUAUUGUGACUUCGUUAAAAUCUUGUUAUUAAAAUUCUCAGUGGAGGAAAUUAGAUUAAUAAAAAAGAGAAUUUACCUUUAAAUAAAAUUGUUAUGUUCUAAAAAAACAGAGAAUUUUUUAUUUUUAUGAUUUCUCUAUUUAGUUAUUUCAAAUGCAUUUUAUCUGGAGGGUUUCUAAAUGAUAGUGAGAAUUUAGCCGCAUAUACUCAAUACCAGAGGUUAUCCCACUUCCCCUUGGGCUCCUUCCCUUGUACGUAUAUCGAAAAACAAAAAACAUCAGUCUAACAUUUUUUUUUUAAAUUGAACUUUAUUAUAUCAACAAUCAAAUUGAAUUAGCCAAAGUGAAUUCUUCAUGAACCAGGAGCCCGAUAACACAGGUUAGCUACAUGAAAAUACCAGCCUAUCAAAUAAUAAUCAAAUACCGUCGUACUUCAAAUUCGGUGUCUCAAACAUACGGAAACAAAAAAAUGUUAUGACAAAAGAAAAACAAAGAAAACCUUAUGUGCAUGCUCACAUUCCUACCCAAGAAUUUGUGUUGUAUGUUUAGAAGAACUUACAAAUGUUCAAUCAUAAAAAAUAAAAUAAAAAUAAAUAAAUAAAUUAUGAGUAAUUCAUACUUGCAAUGAAAAAUAGCACCAUGUCUAUCGAUGAUCGAAAGAACUCCAUGCACAAUGUGAGUUAGGAUUUACCUUAGAUCAAAUUACCACUUCUGGUUAUCUAAUGCCACGAACUCCCCAAGCAAAAUGACAUAGAUCUUCGAGGCCUUGUUACAUAUAUAUAUAUAUAUAUAUAUAUAUAUAUAGGACAAGAAGAUCAAAAUCAGAGAGAUGGAGUUUGAUUUUAAUUUUAAAUAAGGACCCCGAGUCUUCAUUUACCCAAGAACACACAAUUAGGCACAUUUCUGAAGAUAGGUUUGACAUUUUUACAUAGCUCUAUUGAAGAUGAUAGGUCGAUGUACCUAACAAAAGAAAUCAAAUACAGGGAAGCGAAAAUAUGGCGGGGCAUUGACCAAAACUAGCAAUGAAAAGUCAAAUGAAUUAAACACGUUGAAAUGAAACUAAGCAGUUGCUUGUGUCGUCUGGCAACUUUGCUUCUUUAUUUCAAAUUUGGCAGACCGGCUGCUGAAACGUAAUGGGCUUCAAGGGACAAGAAAAACUCCAAAGAAUUUUCAGAUAUUUUUUUAUUAUAUUUUAUUGGUUUAACUUCUAUGAUAGACCUACCAAUAACACUUUUCAAUAUGAAAGCGAUGAAAAUUAAUUAAAAAGUAAAAAGGUGUAGAAUGAAGAGCCAGAUGAACGUUGAAGAUGCAGCGUUGCGGGUUAUGGCUAUGUGGGAGGAAGUCACGCUUCACGGCACGUUGUAGGUAGCAACACUUUCUUUCAAACUGCAUUUGCUACAACAUCCGGUGUGCAAAUAGGAUAAACAAAUAAGCUUAGGGGAUACAAUGAAGCGCAAUAAUACACUGAUUUUACUCUGCAUUGAACAACCAAGGAGUCACCAAACACGCUAAGAGAUUAACAAGGACGUUCAAGAUUAACUACGAACUGUUGGCGUGACUUGUGGAUAUUGACUUACUUUCCUUACACACCAAGAAUUCCUAUUAUAAUUGUAAUUGAUUUACUUUAAUUUCUGAUUUCCUACUGCAAAUAGAUUUAGGAAUUUAUUAUUUACUUGCCUAUUUAGGUUUCGUUGUAUUAUAAAUAUGACCUCCUACAAGGAGAAGAAUACACAGAAAAUUCCCACAAACAAAUAUUCUCUCAUAGUUUUAAUAUUUUAGCGUGGUAUCAGAGCCUAGUUCGAUCUAGGGACCUGUGCUUGUGUUCUUCUUGAAAUUUAAGUGCUCUUCUCCCCCCUUGAGAGGGGGGGGAGGGGGAGUGAAAGGGAUAUGUUUAUUGACCUAUCCCAAUUACCUUGACAUAUUUCCAUGAAGAUGUUGCUUAUUUCUUGACUCCGACGACCCCUUCUCUUCAAGGGGAGAGGAAGAUUGAAGAGAAGUUGUGUCUGAGUGAAUUAACUAAAGUUUAUAUGGAAGAAUUUAUUGUUGCCACUGCCGUGCUCAUGGGGUUUCUGUGUUCUGCCUUACCUAUUGCCGUGCUCACAGGGUUUCUGUGUUCUGCCUUAUCAAUUGCUAUGGUCACACAGUUUCUGUGUUCUGCCUUACCUACUGCCGUGCUCACAGGGUUUCUGUGUUCUGCCUUAUCUACAGCCGUGCUCACAGGAUUUCUGUGUUUUGCUAUGUGCCCUAUUUUUUAGGGUUUGCUCUUGUGUUUUCGCUGUGAACUUUGUUUUAGUUUGUCACUUGUUUCACUCGUGGUUGACUAAAAGAUCUUCUCUACAAUUGGUGUUUCUCAAGUAUGGUGUCAUGUGACUCGCUUGUCAAGUUGGGCCUGCGAAAUAUCUUUGCCCAACUUGAGGGGGAGUGUUGGCGAGUCCUUAUUUCAUGAGAAUUUUGGUUACUUACCAAUUAUAUUUUGUCCUAUUAUAAUAGAGAUUAUUUUAUUUAGUGUUAUGGGGGUUGAUGAUUUUUUCAACCCUCAUAGAGGUAGCACCACCGACUCAUUCUCUCAUUCUCCACCAACCAUCGUUGAGUUGAGUGCCCAGAUGGCUCCGCUCCUACAGAUGCAGACUUUGACCCCGAACCCGAUCCAGAAUCAGGAUCCUCUUUUAACGACCCCGACCCCGACCCCGACCCCGACUAUGAUGACGACCACCCAGACCCCGACCCCGACUAUGACGACGACGACCUCGACCCCGACCCCGACUCCGAAGACGACCCCGACCCCGACCCCGACUCCGAAGACGACCCCAACCCCGAAUUUGUCUCUGAUUCAGACCCUGAUCCCGAUUUCGACUCCGACUCCGGCCUCGACUCAGGCUCAGAUUCCGAUCCUAAUUCCUACUCAACCUGUAUCCUAUGCAUCUUCCGCUGCACAGAUUAUGACUUCUCGACUAACGACCCCGACAUAUGGACUAGAUUGCACAUUUUGUGAAAUCCGAGGAUCAAUUGGCGGAUAUUUUGACAAAGGCGAUUUCUAGUAAAGCAUUCCACAAUUCACUAGAUCAGUUGGGCAUUGGCGACAUCUAUGCACCAACUGAGGGGGAGUGUUGGCGUGACUUGUGGAUAUUGACUUACUUUCCUUACACACCAAGAAUUCCUAUUAUAAUUGUAAUUGAUUUACUUUAAUUUCUGAUUUCCUACUGCAAAUAGAUUUAGGAAUUUAUUAUUUACUUGCCUAUUUAGGUUUCGUUGUAUUAUAAAUAUGACCUCCUACAAGGAGAAGAAUACACAGAAAAUUCCCACAAACAAAUAUUCUCUCAUAGUUUUAAUAUUUUAGCACGAACUAAUACUGCAGAAAUUACUCUCUAGUGCUUUUGUUCUAAGAUGCAAUCGUGAUAAGAGGGAAAUGUUCAUAGCAACUAUCUUUUGAUUUGGUUACAGGUUUUUUUUGAGUGUUGCUAAACGAACUUUAAAAUUAACUGAAUACACCCUAUGAUCUAAGUUCAUCCUAAUUUUUAAAUCAAAAUAUAAAAUUAACUAAGUACAGCCUAUUUAACUAUCAAAAAUGUACUUGUUACACCCUAAUACACUCUAUUACACAACACCAAACCCAUUCAAGAACUGACUGCCGAACACUCCAUCGGACCACCAUAUCUGUCCUCACAAUAGGGUGGAAAAAAUCCAAGCAUCUCAUGGAAUGUCUUCCUAGUUUAUGAAUGUAAAAAGUAACAUAGACGAAUGAUACAAUUGAUUUUGGGAAAACAUGUGCCCUCAACCAACCUAAGAUUCUAAGCAGCAGUGUGUCAAAAACACAAAUCCUGUGUUUUUCAAUUUAUCGUUGAAGAAGGCGAAUUUGCUGAAAAUAUAAAACAGAAAAUGAAAACGGUGUUGGACCCUUACCAUGAUUGUAUCUUGUAUUUUUUGUAAUUAAGUUGCGUGCCUAUGACAACGAAUGCCAUAUAUGCGUAUAGAAAAAAAAAAAAAAAACCCCCUCAUAACAUAUUGAUUUUUAAACUUGUUUUUUUUCUUAACCAUUAGAUUAGAUCUAAUGGUGAGUGAUCACAAUUUCUUUGAACUAUAGGGAUCCAGGAGAACGGAACUAUAGGUAAAUGUGUAUCAGAAUACAAAUGGAAAGAAUCAUAAUGCAAAUGGAAAGAAAGGCUGAUGAGUUCCCUUGGAAUUGUGUUUUGGUUAUGUUUUUUUUUUUUUUAAAUUUGAAAAAAAAAAAUUAGUUUACAGUUGACACUAUUAAGUUGGGCUCAAAUGGUGUCAAGUGCGUGGUGUCUCAAAACGUAAAAAUAGGGGACAAAGUAGGGUUUUUUAUUGGGCCGAGCCGGGUUUUUCCUGACUUUUUCUUUUGUUAUGUUGGGUUGAGGUUUCAAAAGACCAGGCCCAGACUUGCCCAUUGAGUUGAGCCUAUGAGGACCUUUCAGGUCGGGUCGGGCCAGGUCACCGAUGGGCUUAAACGAGUCGGGCAUUUUAUUUUAUUUUUAAUAUUUUUUUAGUAAUUUUUUUUUAUAUCUUUUUGUUACAAAUUUUUAGACAACAGGGGACUGCAUUAAUUUUUUAAAAAAAAUUAAAGACCGGAGGCCUUUGUUGUAAACUGUUUAUUCGUUCUAAAGCAUGCUACUUGUUGGGAUAUUAAAUUGUGAAUUUUAGCAGAUUGAAAAUUUGGGAAAUGUUCAAUUUACAGGGGAGACUGCCAAAAUUUUGGUAGGAAGUCUUUUCUUUAGUAAAUGGGCCCGACAUCGGUAAGAUGUCGAAAAUAUGAUGGGAUUCGUCCUGGUUUCCGAGGAAUCUGGAGCGGGUCCUGUCAAGCGUAUCAUGGUUAUCCAAGCUAAAUAGGGUGUAGGAAGGAACCUAUUGAAAUUGGAAAUGACCGUGAAAUUGAAUCAUUCUCUUAUACAAUACUCUUUAUUCACAUUAUUAGAUAAUGAAAUCUAAUGUCGAAUAUCCAAAUGUUUAUAUGAUUAUCCUAGUAAAAUUUGAAAACUUCUUCUUUGAAAUCUUAUCCACUAUUCUGCUCAGAGAUUUGAUCAAUCAUAUCCUUGGAGUAUUCUCUCUCUUUACUGAGAGUAGAGAUUCCUUGUUGUACAUUCAUUCGUCUCCAUGAAUUUAUUGAGAGUCCUGAUGAACACUUUUAAGUCAUGUCUCCUACAACACAACUGUAUAGUGCCCUCAAAGAGAAACAACAUAGCCACAAGACAUCUAUAAUGUCUCUGGUCUAAGAUUAGUUUUUGCACCAUUACAAUCUAUGAGUUCUAGUUUGACAUGUGAGUAAAGACUUCCAUUCUAGAACUCAUGUAUAUAUACGAUCGCUUCAGUGUACUUAUUCUUCUACAAGUAUCUACACACAUAUCUUGGUGUCAACACACUCAAUGAUUUGAGACCUCGUCAUUCUCUACAUGUAGAAAAGAUAUUGUGUGUACUAGUCUUGGAGGAAUAUCAACGCCCAAUUGAUACUCGUAUGACUAGGGACAUAUUUAGAAUUAGGGAUCAUGAUAAGUCUUGAUGUAUGCAAUCUCAUUACAUAGUUCUCAUGUCCACUUAUAUUCCUAGGACUAUAGUUGUUUUACGGUUAUGAUAAUAUGCCAAAUAUCAUGGUUGAAAACAAUUGGUCUUGCUCAUGAAUAACUUAAUAAGUCAUCACAUAAGAUGUCCUUAACAUUAAUUAUUGUAUAAUUAGUUGGCUUUUAGAGCAUACUACUAACAGUUUCCUUGUCAUAGUUGAGAUGAUACAGUGUGUUCUCUGUCGAAUGCUCUCACUAUCUUGUUGCUGUGCAAAAGACUAUGAUUUCAUAGCAAGAUUCUUUUGACACAAGAUAGUACUUUCGAAAAUUAUCUCUCUAACUUUUAAAAUGUAAGGAACAUCACAAUUAUGUUGAUUUGUUUGACCAGUUGGGUAUUUAAGUCAUUUGAAUUGUUAUAUUUUGUCACAUGAUUUCUCUAUCUAACUUCUCACCUCUUUAUGAAUUCAUCUAUUUACUUAAUUUUUUUUUUUAUUUUUCGCCUAAUUUUUGACAUGACCUAACUGUACUUCUCACAAAUUGAUACGUUUGAAAAAACUUUUCACCUAAUUUUACAUCCUAAACUUUUCAUUUAAUUUUUUCUUCAAAAUCUCUCUAUUUAAUAUGUCACAUUAUUUCCUCCCUUAUUCUUCCUCUAACCUUGUAUUCUCCACCUAAUUCUCCCACCUAUUGCCCACUGCCUACGUACGUCAUCGAUCCUGAAAAGAGUAUCUUUUUAUACAUAGAAACUCCCCACAUCAUUCUUUUAAGGGAAUUUGUUUUCGAUAGCCAACAACUCCUUUUUCAUUACAGCAUAGAUUCCCCACAAUGCCAAUGCAGGUCCUACAAUCCAAAAGGACUUGAACCCAGAGACAAGUUCGGUGCCUAAAUUUUGGGCAGAAAUCUCUCCUUAAUUAAUAUCCUUUGGAACCUUCCAACUUAAGUUUCAUUUCCUGAAUCCUAGGGCUCCAAGUUGUUUUGCGUUAUUAUACAUAAAUAUAGAUAAGACACCUGAUCGAAUUACCCUUUAUAAAAUUAAUUGAUGUUACAUUAGUUAAAUCCAAAAGGUAAAGAUCCUGAAAUUCAGAGCAAGACCAAGUGCCAAGACUUAGUGCUUAUUAGGAGGCCGUUUGGGACAUGUCUUAUAUGGGACUGUUUCUGAAGAAGGCGCUUAUACGCUCAUAAGCAUUUUUUAAGAAGUGCUUCUAUUACGUUAAAUUUUUUAUUGAAAAUCAAAGUGCUUUUUGGAUCUUUUCGCAGCAUGGGUUCUAUGACCAUUAAGGGAUGAUCUGAAUCCUCUACAUUUCGAUGGAUAGGGGAAGGAUUUGGGAAAGGUAGAAGUCAGGCUCACUUGUAGGGUAUGUAGUUGGAAAGCGUGCUGGAACUUACAAAAAGGUGUUUGCUUGCUUUUGAAGCAUGAUUUCAAGCAUGAUUCUGAAUCUGAUGCGUAGCCAUUGCCGGACCGCAUUGCCGAUCCACCGCUAGACCUAAUUUGGAUUGGUUCAGUUAGGGGAUUAAGCUCCAACCUGUAUUGAACUGAUCCCAUGUCCAUCCUGACUUUUAGCUUAUCUACGUAUUGAAAUUAAUUUGAAAGCAUGUAUAACAGUUCUGUUUUAUUAAUUAAAUUUGUGCUUACAAUCAUGGGACUUAACCCAGCCUACCCUUUUCGCCAGGCUAACCUUAUGUUUUCUUGAGUUAGAACUGAAGGGCUUAUUUUUGAGAAGCAAAGGAUCAUGCUACAUUUGGUCUAAAUAUAAUACUUCAAUACUGCACGACUACUUUAACACACUUUUCGAAUAGACACGUCAAUCUGAUUUUAAGGGAGUCCAAACUUAACAGUUGGAAUGUUGAGUUAUGAAUAGCAUCCCUUGCAUGCUUAUCUUGCUUGCAGCAUCGUAAGGCCAACAUACCUGCCCAAAACCGAAAAUUCAGAGGGUUAGAAUGUAGUAAUAUGGCAUACAGUUCACUACAAACAAGCCAAUCAACAACAUAGUUGUUGAUAAUUCAUUUCUUGUAGUUUUAUUAUGUUUUAGAGUGUCUAUAACAUACCUGCCUAACAUCAUAAGGGUUGCCUGAGGAUUUGUCCCUGGUGAGAAAUUGAAUACGGAGGUAUCAACAACACGUAAUGCGUUGAUCCCCAUAACACGCAAACCACCAUCAACCACCUUUCCAACAAUGGAUCCACCCUGGUAAUGCCAAAAUGUGGCCACUGAACCUUGACAAAAUAUUUUAAAGGAUAAAAUGUCUGUUUGGUUCUUUGGCAAAGAUAGUCCAAAAAACUUGAAGCCUUCUAUUCCCGGCAAAUCUUCAGCCUUAAAUGGUUUCAUUGCGUCUGUCCUUAACAAAUCACCAAUCUUCUUCAUGCCACUUACACAACGAGCAAGGUCCACCGGAUUUGAAAGGUAGUUGAAUCUAACAUUUGGACCAACCCUAACAUCCGACGAUGAUUGUAGCUUAAGAGAACCAUACGACAAGGGUCCUGGAAAUUUGAUAACAAUUUGUCCGUAACUCGAAUCUACCUUGAUGGGAUUAGAUGGAUUAGGAAAAAUGCUAAAUGGUGGAGAAGAAAAUGGCAAUCCAGAGAUUGUCUCAACGUAGAAAUCAUUGGUAAUGCCUACAAUCUUUACAGCUGAGGGUUCUAGUGGGAAUGGAGGCAAAAUGUUUAUUAAAUUACGAGGAUUGUCAUACAUAAACUGUCCGACAUAUGGAUGGGAACGCACAACUGGGAUUUUCAGGGAUGAUAGGUAAGACUCCGGGCCAACACCACUAAGUAGUAGAAGUUGAGGGCUCCCGAUUGCCCCUGCACUCAAUAUAACCUCUCCCUUACCACGUACAAAUGCGCGAUGAGAUCUCCCGUUCGAAUCACUAUAUAUGAUUCCUAUAGCUGACAAACCUGCAUUAGAUACUAGCUUAUUUAAUUAAUAUCAAACAAUUUCUUACUGAACAUAAACUUAAUUGUUCAUCAUAGCACAUAUGCAAGAUAUAUACUUGACGUAUUGGAAGAGAAGAUGAUCUUCUCUACUGUGGCAUGAACAGCAACUCGCAAGUUCUUUGGCUCUCCUCUAUUCAGAAGUUCCACAGCUCCAUGUCUCCUUCCAUGAUUGUCAAAAGUUGAACCCCCAAUUUUAGUUCCUUUAAUGUGAUCCACAUUAAGUCCAUUGUCUGGACCAACACCAGCCUCCAACAAAGCUUCUUUUACAGCAGAUUGCCAUUGUGUCAAGUUCGGGGAAAACACGAUACUGUCUUCAACCCACUGAUAUGCCUUAUUCACCAAAUCCAUGUCCCAUUCAAUUCCUGAUUUCAGAAAGAAUUCCCUGUCAGCUCUUGAGUAGAAGCCAGCAUUGAUCAUGCUUGACCCUCCUAGGACCCUGCCUCUUACAUUAGGAACACCAUCUUCUGACAUGAAUCUUUGAGCUGGUGUCUUGCCAUCAUCUUCUUGCAUGAGAUUGUUCAAAAAGCCAUCUUCACGCAGAACGCUGGGAUAUGCUGUAGGAACACUGCCCCUUUCCAAAAGGAGCACCGAGUAAUUCAAGGAUAAAGUGGCCGCCAAUGGACACCCAGCUGUUCCUCCACCAACUACAAUGUAGUCAUAUGUUGCUUCUAACUGCGGAGGGGUUGCGUUAUACACAAAUUUCAUGUAGCUAAAAUCUGAAAAAUGUGAAGACAUGAAGAGUUAUUUGUUAUGAUAAGAUAUAGAACAUGUAAUUUCAUCUUAGUUUAUCAUUCUCUUUUGCUGUUUCAUUUUUUUAUUUCUUUUUCAUGGAAUCACAGAUGAAGCAAUUUACCAUGAUUGGAAGUAGUGGCGAACGAAUGAACCUCUGAUUGAAGAUGAAGGACAAAAAGGAGCAACACCAAUAGUGUAGCAGAUAUUAUCGAUUUGUCCAUCUCUUUGAAACCAGAUAGACGUCUUUCCACCUGGAAAAUUGAAAAACACUUUCAUGGCCUCUUAUGGAAUUUACAGAGAGCACUCUUACACUUGGUAAAUUCAAUUAGAAAUCAAGAUUUCAAAAAUCACACGAAUUUGCUAAAGUCAAAAAUCACAGUACAAAUUUAAUAUACAACUGACCUCUAAACACUUCAAAUCUCAUAGAUUGGUCCAUGUUCAGAAAAGAAAAUAAUGUAAAGGGAAAAAACAAUGUAUCUUAAUAUAUUUGAAUCGUUGGAACCAAAAAAAAAACAUUAUUAGAAUCGUAUUCCUAAUAGAAAAUAUUUUGAAAUGCUCAUGAAUCUUUAUCCGUAAUUGAUCUAGAUCAGAGGCCUAUUAUAAACGGGGUUAGCCUUCUUUAUCUUUGACCUGAUAGUACGUAUAGUGAACAAAUAGUACGUCUUAAUUGUUUACCCAUGGAUUCCCUAAAACUCUCCAAGCUAUAGGACAUUUAAAGGCCAAGGAGGUGUCCAGCAACCCAAGGACUCCAAGGUGUUCUCUUACAAGGGUCGGUGCCUAAAUUUUAGGCACCUCUCUUUUUAAUUAUAAUUUGGAGCCUUCUUACUUAGGUUCCAUUUCAUGACUCCCACGACUCCAAGUUGUUUUAGCUAAUUGUAGGGGUUAUUCAAGAAUGGCCACCGCACCACACAAUCCCAGAUACAAACCCCGACCUAACAUAUAUGUAUAGAUAUAGAUAAGACAGUUUUUUUUUUGGGAGCUUUAGUAAUAUACCCAAAAUAGGGGCUGUAAUUAUAAAAAAACCCUACAUAGAAUGCACUUUAGAAACACACCCAAAAACCAUUUACUACAUAUAAAAUUAGUAUUGAAGUUCGUAUAAAUUACAUCUCUGCCAUUGAUUAACUUAAAAUAAGCCCAACACAAAAUUCCCAAAAGAACCCAAAACAAGCUCAGCGAGCCCAUAUUAGAUUUUUUUUGAAAAAAACCCAAACUUAAUAUAAAAUAAAAUAAAAAAUCAUGAAAACCAAGGGUCUGUCCCCACGACCCUUCAUUCUCCAUCAAACCUCCGCAAACCAUAUCAUAGAAGUACAUUGUUAAUACCAUGUCAUAAAAGUACAUUAUUAAUACCAUGUCAUAAAAGUGCAUUGUUAAUACCAUGCUAUAGAAGUAUAUUGUUAAUACAAUUUCAUAGAAAAACAUUCUUAAUACAAUUUCAUACAAAAACAUUGUAAAUACCAUUUCAUACAAAAAAUCCAAAAAACCCUAACAAGAGAUUCGAUAUCCUUUGCUGCCACCUCCAAUUGUCCAUAGUUUCACCAGAUACAAUCGCAAAGGCAAAAGGAAAUACCUUUACAAGGAAAAAACAAGUACACUGUUAAUACUAUGUCACAGAAGUACAUUGUUAAUACUAUGUCAUAGAACUAUUGUCCUAAUAAAAAUCACAUUUUGCAUAUCAUAAACUUCAAGUGCACAGCCAUAUAUAGAGCAAAAUAUAGAGCAUGCUUUGUUACUGAAAAUCUGUUAAUACUAUGUCAUAGAAGUACACUGUUAUUACUAUGUUAUUUAAAUCAACUCAGUUGCAGGGUAUGAACAGUAUAACAGCUGUUCAUACCACUUACUGGAAGUUAACAACUGCUCAUAUGACUUACAGAUAACAAAUUGUAUACUAAAACGACAUUGCCGAGUUCGGCGUAUUCCGCUCUUCAAAGAAGAGCUUCUUCAAUGGCGGCCGCAGAGAGGAAGAGGAAGCGGCAGCCCCUUUGGCUAUGGAAAAAUCAUCGUCGACGGCAUCUGCGAAGAAGAGAUCCAGGUUGAAAAUCAGGAACACAAGACAGAUCUGGCCAUUUUGGAAUAUAUCGUCGGUGGAAAUCGGCGAUCCGUCGGGGUUGGUGCAUGCGAAAGAGAAAUCAAGUAGAAAUUCAAGUAAAUUAAGCAAAAAUCAAAAUGAAAAUAACGAAUUGAAGCAGAUGGAACAAACCUGCAAAGGAAAUGGAGGCAUCGGCGGCGAGAACACGUGUGAGGCCACCUACGUAACGGAGAUUGUCGUCGGUCUUGUGUUGGUCCAUGGCUUUGAGACUAUUUGGUUUACUUUGAAGGCAUAGAGAGGGAAGAAGGGAGAGAACAAAGGAGAGAUGGUGGUUUGAAGCAGGAGAGGGGCUUAAGGCUUCAAACCUGAGGGAGGGCUUGAUGCUUCAAACCUGAGGGAGGGCUUGAUGCUUCAAACCUGAGGGAGGCUUCAAACGAGAUCCAAAACUAACUUAAUGCUAAAAAGGGUAAUAAAGAUAUUUCAUCUUAUUAAUUAAAUUAAAAAAUAUACAAUUGUUGAUUUUUGGGUUUAUUUUGGGUGUGUUUCUAUGUUUUAAAUUGCGUAGGGUAUAUUUAUAGUUUCAUGUCUAGGAAUGGGUGUUUCACUAAUUUUGUAUUUUUUUUUCUCUCUUUUCCCACUCCCCUUUUGUUCAUUAGGGGCUAUUUGUUACACAGGCUUGGCUUGGCCUGGUUUGGACUAAAUUUAAUCCCGUGUUUGUUUCAUCUAAUCCUAAUCUUAGAAGGGAUUGCUAAUACCGGGCUCACCAAAAACACCUCCUUAGGAGGGAACUAAUAAACCCAUGUGGGAACUAAGAUGCAUAUAUUAUAUUGUAAUAAUAAUAACAUAUAUUAUUAUAAUAUACCCAUAUACCCAUAAAAAUAGGGCACACAGCAGAACAUAGAAACUCUGUGAACACAGCAAAGGCAAGGCAAAGAACACAGAAAUCUUGUGAACACGACAAAGAACACAGAAAACCUGUGAACACGGUAAAGAACAGAGAAACUCUAUGAACACGGCAAAGGCAAGGCAAACCCAAACCCUAAAAUAGGGUAAGGCAAAGUAAAGGCAAGACAAGGCAAGGCAAAUCAAGGCAAAGAGAAGAAAAGGAAAGACAAGGUCAACGGUGGUAGUAGCGGUAAUGGCAAUGGAAAACGGUAAUGACAUCCAUAUCAAUUUUAGCUAAUUCUCGUAGACACAACUUGUAAUUGGUGCUUAGUGAUGGGUAUAUUAUAUAUUAUAUAUUUAAUCUCAUUCUUAGUAUAUUUUGGUUAAUAUUUUCGAAGAAUUUUGAUAUUUUGAAUUAUAUUUCCAAUACAGGACUUUUGACUCUCUCUGGAACAAAACGUAAUCAAAUGGAAGAAUUUUGGAGUAAUUCCAGUUAGAGGACGUUUGUGAGUCACUUAGCUUGAUCGUAUCAAAAUUUUAGACUUUUCUACCAAGCGGUUAUUUUCUGCCAAUAAAAUAAAGGAGCAGUGCGCGGUGCUGGAAUAGUGACGUUUUGGGCUUUUAUUGCGUUUUUGGAGCCCAAGAUGAUAUCGGAUGGGUUCAUGACCUUCUGGAGAAAUGUUCAGAAUAUUUUUUUCUUUAAAAAAAGCUAUCUGGGGCCAGAUUUGGAGAAGAUUUGAGGCCAAAACGUGGCUGGGCAGAUUGUGGGCUGAUUCUCCUAAUCCAAUUUGGACUUUAUUUCCUAGUAUUAUUUUAUUUUAAUUAGUUUCUUUGUGGGGAUAGAAAAGCUGUACAUUGGCAGCUAGUUUAAGCUCUUUCUCACAACAAUUUGGCGGACUUCGUUUUGGCUCUUGAACGUGGAGAGCAAUUGCUAGAGUUUUGGGUUUUCAGCGACUUUCAGGUGUUUUCGUUCUUAUUCAUUCAAAUGAUAUUUUCAUUGAUUUUAAUUAUGAAUUUGCGUAACUAAUUCCUUUUGCUAGGGUGAAGCCAUAAGCCUUAGCAUGAAUAUGUAAUUUAUUAAUUGCUUUUGAAUGGAUGCAUGUUUGCUUUGAAUUAUUAAUCACUGCAUUUAAAACUAUCUACCUAUUUUAAUGACUGAUCACCAUUAGGAUAUGUAGACAAGUAAUUUGAUGCAAUUUUUGUUGGAACAUCACCCUGAAAUUGAGGAUGGCUUCUUGUGAUUAGUAGUUGUAAGUUCACUUAAGGCGAACAUCACGCUCUUAAGGGUUGCAUAGUUUUUCAAAGGGUUUUCACAAAGCUUAAUGAGUCUUGCAUGUUUAUAUUUGAUCUGAACAUCACAUACGGAUUGCAUGCUAGAUAUAUGUUUUCGCUUGAACAUCACAAGGAAAAUAUGCAUUAGGAAAACCUAACCUUCAAAGCAUUUAUGUGGAAAUUCAUAAGUAAUUGAUAGAAUUGCAUAGGAUUGUGACAGUAAUGGCUAAGCCCUAGUUUUCCCUAAAUUGUUAGUCUUUAGAAAGAAAACGUUUUUCUUUUCUCCUGUUAUUAUUUCCCAACUUUCAGAUUUCAUUUACUAUUAAUUUAAUCUUUUCAAAUUCAUAAACUUCAAAUCUUUGAUAAAAUCUAUUUUAGUUAUUAAUUAAGAGUUAGUUUAAUUACAAAUUAGUCAAACAAUCUUUGGGGACAACAACAUUGCAUGAGCAUAUAUACUACAAUAGCCUUGUAUUCUUGCAAGUAUUUGAUGUGAUUUUAACCCUGUUUGCACAAGUACUAAAAAUCCUAUCACUUAGGUAAAAAGGGUAAACUAAAACCCCAAUGGACAGAACGGACAAGCAGGAAACAGACAACAAAGGAUUCCUAACCAAUAUGUUCCUAGCUAAUUCCUAGUCACAAACCUAUGAAUGCAGAGUAACCAAACAUACACAUUCAAUUUCUAUUGGAGGUGGUUGGAGAUGGUGUGCUUAGUGGUUGUUUUCUUUCUUCUUGGGGUAUUAUGUUCUUUGUCGGAUGUUCUCACUGUCUUGUGGCUGUGCAAAGGACUAUGAUUUCAUAGAAGGACUCUUUUGACAGUUGGAUUGUGUUCUCGUCGAAGGUCUUUGUGUCAGUUUGCUGUUUUAUUUUAUCUUGCUCUAGCAUUGAUCUUGCCUGACUGUUUCAAACUCUUUUUGUUAGUCUAUGACAUGUGUGGUGCUUUUUCCUCCACUAAGGUUUGUCCCUCGAGAAGGUUUCAACGAGGCCACUGUUUCAUGUCAUUCCAUGUAUGCUACUUUGAUUCUAUUUAUAAAUUCCAUUUCUAAAAAGAUGUUGCUCAAUAUAAAGAGGCCUCCAACAUACAACUUUAUAUGCAAUUUUUUUUUAGUUCUGCUAAACGAACCCUAAAAUUAACUGAGUAUACGCUAUGAUCUAAGUACACCCUAAUAUUAUAAUCAAAAUGUAAAAUUAACUAAAUCCCAAAAGGCCUCGUACUAGAUAGAGGCGGACAUGUACAUAUAAGACACAUCACCCCCUCUCCGUUGGUCGAUGUGGGAUCUUACAAUCCACCCUCCUUAGGAGCCCGACGUCCUCGAUCGUCGGCACGCUCACACCACAAGGCAGAGUGGCUUUGAUACCAUUCUGUCACAUCUCGGAUCGGCUCUGUCAUAGCACGAUAUUGUCCGAUUUAGGCUCCCCUGCCCUCACGAUUUUGUUUUUGAAAACUCACGAGCAACUUCUCAGUGGGUCACCCAUUCUGGGAUUGCUCUAACCCAAACUCGCUUAACUUCAGAGUUCUCAUGACUUCGAAGCCAGUGACUCCCAAAAGGCAUUCUGCUAGAUAGAGACAGACAUAUACAUAUAAAGCACAUCACCUCAUCUCCGUUAGUCGAUGUGGGAUCUUACAUUAUAAGUUUAUAUCCUCUCUGUCUGACAAUGUUUGUAAGAUCAUUACUACUAUUUUGGACAAAUAGAUCAAUCGAACUUGCUACUUUACUUGUUAAUGAAUAUAUGUAUUAUAUAUUUAUAUGAAAUAUAUAUAAUAUUAAAGUUAAACUUGCCGUUGCUGCUCUGGCCAAAAUUUCAUGAAGAAAAGAAAAAAAAUAUGGCAACAAGCAUUAAGUGAAACUUUGUAGAAAGUUCUCAGAAAAGUAACUGUUGAAUUUUAUACAUAAACCCUAAUAAAGCAAAUUGAAUAAAAUUCUGGUAAAAGUACAAAAACAAAAACCAAAAAUUAUCAGAAAAAGUAAUGGAAGAACCUUUCGUCCUGCAAUUCGCCUCCAUCAGUGAACGUUGCGUUGUUCGUUGUGGGCACCAUAUAAUACAAAAACUUCUCUACAGUUGAUUAGGGUUGAAUAUGAUAAGUAGGGUGUACUUCUUAAUUUUUUAUUUUUUUUUCACAAUUCAAUAUAUCUUUUUUGGUUAUUUUAUAUUAGGAUAAAUUAUAGUAAUUCAAUAAAUAGUUUAUUAGUACGGUGUACUCAGUUAAUUUUAGGGUUCAUUUAGCAGCACUUUUUUUUCCAGCAACAUAUAUAAUUUUGUUUUCAAGCUUCAAGCUUCAACCACUCAACUCUCUCUCUCUCUCUCUCUCUCUCUCUCUCUCUCUCUCUCUCUCUCUCAAAUUCUUAGAGUUUGUUUUUCCUAUAUUUUGUAUAUUAUUGUUUUUUUUUCUUGGUUAUUAGUAAUUAGUAAUUUGAUGAUCACAAGAUUUUGAAUAUAUAUUUUGAUUCUUUUUUUUAUAAUUUUUGGUUGAAGACUUUAUUUUAGGAAGCCCUUUUGUUAUUUUGGCAUAGGUCCCCUAAAAUCUCAGAGUCGCCAAUGUUCGAACUUGAGACCUCUUCUCUAUAAGUUAAGGCCAUUUUUCACUGAGUAGGUAUGCAUUUUUAUUAAAUCAUGAUAAUAUGUAAAUUUUAUUCAUAAUCGAUAAUAUAGGUAGAUUCUUUUCCACAAAAACUAACAGGUUAUAUAUCGUCCAAAUAUAUAUAUAUAUAUAUAUAUUCUAGAUAUGCUAUUUUUAUUAAAUCACAAAAUUGGUACAUUAUUAUUCAAAAAAAUUUAAAAAUAACGUAUCCAAAUCUUAGAAUAGUGGUAGGUGUGUUAAAUUUUAGAAGAGAAAUUAUUUGCAUCUUGUUUAGAGCAUUUCCACCAGUUAGCCCCUUGCCAUGGCAAGGGGAGCUCUAGGGCAGCUACUAUUCACGUGAAUAGUGGCUGCCCUAUCCCCCCUCAGCAAAGUGUGUUUCCAGCAGUUUAGGCUUGCCAUAGCAAAUACUAUUCAUUUUUUUAUUUUUUUCACAACUUUGUUUACUUAAACAAUUACUUUGGAUAAUAUUUUCGGAUAAGAUUUUUGGGUUCCUAUGUGUCAAUACUAUUCAUAUCGAUAAGAUUUUUGGGUUCAUAUGUGUCAAUACUAUUCAUAUCGGAUAAGAUUUUCGGUUUCAAAUUUUAGAUAAAUUUCAAAUUUUAGAUACAUUUCAAAAUUCAAAUUUCAGAUAAAUUCAAAAUGUCAAAUUUCAGAUACAUUUCGAAAUUCAAAUUUCAGAUAAAUUUCAAAUUUCAAAUUUCAAAUUUCAUUUGAAUUUAAAAUUUCAGAUAAGAUUUUCACCCUCUAAGAUUGCGCCGCGUGUCAUAUCUAUCUGUCUACAUUUUUCUAUAAAACCAGAGGUUCAGCUCAUAGCUCCCACACCAGUUCUUCUCUACAUUUCCAUUUCUCAUAUUUUAGAUUUCAUUCUCCAUUCUCAAUGGCAGACAUGCAAGAGGUUUUGGAGAGGCAAGAGCGAGAAACUAGAGAAAGAAUGCGUAGACGAGCUGCAAGCAAAAGGGCGCAGAGAAAACUAGACGAGCAACUUGGCAUAGCAGUUGCUUUGUUGGAGGAAGAAAACCAGAGUAGCCGUGGUUCACGAGAAGACCGUGACCCAAAUGUGGACAGACAUAGACAUUCUCGGGGUGAGAAUCUUAUGGAAGAUUAUUUUAUCCUACAAUCUCUGUACUCUGAUGUUUAUUUUCAAGGGAGAUAUAGAAUGCAACCUCAUUUGUUCAAUAAAGUCAUGCAUGAUAUUUGCAAUUAUGAUGAAUAUUUUGUUCAAAAGAGAAAUUGUGUUGGAAAUUUGGGACUUCUUCCAGAGCAAAAGUUCACAGCUGUGAUACGAAUGUUGGCGUAUGGGUCAUCUGCUGAUCAGGUGGAUGAGAUUGCCCUGAUUGGGAAGUCCACUGUUGAGAGGUGCUUUGGUACCCUUCAAGCCCGGUGGGCUAUUAUCAGGGGCACGACACGUCUAUUUGACGAGGAGGUGCUUAGGAGUAUAAUGAUGACUUGUAUCAUCCUCCAUAACAUGAUUGUGGAAGAUGAAUAUGAUUACGAUGCUGAUGAAGUCUAUGAACCAAAUCCCAUGGACACGGCCCUAACACGAAUUUAUGAAAAACCAGUGGGGCCAAAUGGGGAACCAGUGCAGCAUGAACCGUUGGUUAGAGACGGUAGUUUCAUGCCCCGUAUGAUUGAUCGCUACACGGAGAUGCAAUCGUCGUAUAUUCAUGAACACCGUCAAGUUGACUUGAUGGAUUAUUUAUGGGCGGUGAAAGGCAAUGAAGGUGAAUGAAGUGAAGUGAAGAUGUUUUUUUAAUUUAUUAUGUUUAUGUUGUAUUUUUAGUUAUGCUUUGUUUUUUUUAUGCUUUAUUUUUUCUAGUUGUGGGUUGUUUAUUUUUUAUGCUUUGGUUGUGGGUUUUUUUAUUUUUUAUGCUUUAGUUGUGGUUUAUUUAUUUUUUAUGCUUUGGUUGUGGUUUGUUUUUUUUUUUUUUUUUAUGCUUUGGUCGUGGUUUGUUUUUUAUGUAUGGAAUGUUUUGAAUAAAAAGGAUUUUUGUUAAAUAUUUUCUUUAUUCACUAAAAGAAAAGCAAUACAACUAAUAAAAUAAAAUACAUGAAUUAAACAAAACAAAAAAUACAAUGAAAUCAAAGGCAAGUAAACUAAGACAAGAAAGGCAAGCAAACUAUUUUAAUGGUUUUCAUCAUUUAACCAAUCCGUGUUGCUAGGUCCAUCGUCACGAAAAAGUCUUCGUCUCAUAACAUCCCUUCGUUCUAGCUUCCAAAAUUGUUUUGUUUCAGGAGACAUAUGGCUUGUAUCCAUGGCCAUGGUUUCCCGAUCUUUUUUUUCAAUGCUUUGUUCGCGUACAUACUCCCUUUCUUUUGCAUAUUCUAGUUGAAUAGCCAUAUCGUGCUCUUGUUGUUUCAAGUCCAUUUCAAUUCUCAUGGCUUGGUGCUUUGAAAGUUCCUCCAAAAAUUUAGAUGCAUUCUUGCUAGAAUUACUCCCUCUCUUUGCCUUCGCCGCCUUCCUCCCAAUAGGCCUUGACUUCUUUUCAAUGGGUGAGUCUUGACUCAUCGGGGAAUCCAUAGGUGAAUCCGAUGCCGGCUUCUCAUGAAGUGGAGUCUCGUUCAAGACUACCGUCAGACCGGUUGGAAUAAUUUGGAAUCUCUAGUCUUCACCACCUCCCAACAAUGGGUAUAGUUGAAACUUUUUUUCCCUUGUCCAGUAGCACCAAACCACAUUUGUGCUUGCAUAAUCUAUAAAAAAAAAAAUUAAAUGGAAAUGCAAGAAACUUUAAAAAAUAUUGGCAAUGCAACAUGUAAAAAAAAAAAAAAAAAACUAAUGCAAAUUCAAUAAAUUUAAAAAAAAAUGCAACAUGUAUAAAAAAAAAACUAGAGACAUAUUAACAAAAUAUAUAAAUUGCAAGAAACAUAUAAAUAAAAAUUAAUAUGACAUAGAAAUUAAUAGAACGAAAAUGACAAAUAAUUUACCUCAUUGCUAAGGUUUUCUCCGCUUCGAUGGUUGUCCAUCGCUUUUGCUAAGGCAUUUCUCCAUUUCGCCAACUCUUUAUUAAGAAUUUUCCACAUACUGGAUAAUGUCAUUUCUGCACGUGUAGAACCAAUUGCCCUUUCACAAAAUGCUUGAUGAAUUUUUUUCCACAUAUGAGAAAAUUUAAUCUCAUUGCCCGUUACGGGACAAUGACUAACUUGGACCCAAGCCUCACACAAGCUAACAUCUUCCAGUAAGACACGUCUACCGGGAAGCGGGUGGUUGCUGACGAUCUGGUACCAAUUGGUGAUGCUCAACAUAAUAGUUUGCAAACUUCUUGUUGUUUGUGCCAUUGUAACUCUUGUAUGAUAAUAGGAAUAUAGGGAUCCUUAGAGGUUUUUUGUAAUUUUAUUUCUCGUUUUCAUAAAAGAAACCACUUUAGAGUAACCCACUUUGCUGUAUUAACCAAUGUUUUAGAUCUCAUUUAGCUCCUACCGUCAAAUUCAUCAAAAAGUCUAUUACAAAUGCUCUUGUGGCACAAAUGGCCCUACCGUAUCGGUGAAAUGUAUGCCACAUAAUUGUCAUGUGUAGAAAAAACAUUUGAAAAAUUAACUUAAAACUAAAAAUUGAAGUAAAAAAUAAAAAACCCACGACCCAUCCACCGAACCUCAACAAUCACCACAACCACCCCAUCCUAGUGAUGGCAAUCCCCUAUUCUCUGCACAGUAGUCGAGCUGGAGAUAGAGCAACCCCCAGUUUUUCUGAAUGGUGAAUUUUUGGGUGAACAUUUAUGGUGUCUCAUCUUGGUUGCUUGAUUGGUCAAAAUUUUCAUAUAUUCUUGCAUUGCUCAAAUGAAUGUUCACACACUAUUCACUUUAGUUGUUCCUAGCACUCAGGAUGCCUAAAUUGACGAAUCCUUAUAAGUGCCUACGUUGUCACAUAGUUUUCUUCUAGGUGUGUAGGUUUUGACAUUCAUCUGUUGUGAAUCUGUGGUUAGAUUGCAUGUUCAUGGGUCUAUGCCUAGGUGUGGACUAGUCAUACUGUUACUAAGAUUAUCUAGUCAUUUGUGUCAUAGAUCUGUCCGAUUAGAGUUUUGAUUUACCCAAUUCACCUAAGUGCCAAUUUCACUAUUGCUAGUUAACAUUGGAUGAUGGAACUUAUUAUGUUAACAAAAUCACAAGUGAUAUCAGUUUAUUCUUUGAACUCAUUUCAAUGUCUUAAAUAUGUAUUUAAAUUUCUUCAUGGAAGUUGCCAUGUCUUAUGCUAGACACUGAAUCUGUAUCCUAUAUCUAGUAAGCGUAUAUUACCUGCUCAUAUUGAUCUACCUGAUUGGGUAGCUGAUGUAACUUUUAGUUCAAACGCCUAAAAUUUGAGUAGAUAUAGUGCUUCAUCUUUUUUGACAUAAAUGGAAAUUAAUUGUUGCAUUGUGUUCGUCAAUUAGGUUUUUGUGUGUUCCUUUGGAAAUUGGUACUUAGGUGACGAGAAGUAAAUUUUAUGACACUUAAACAAAAUGCAACAAUCUUCACACACUUUAGAUCUUGAUCAAAAAAACACUUAUGACUAGUCAACUACUAGUCAUGAACAGCCACAAUCAAGAAUACACACAGAGCAUGCCACAAUGUACUUGCAACCCUAGAAGAUUACUAGUGACAACCUAGGCACUCAGAAGGACCCGUCAAUCUAGGCAUCCCCUGCGCUAGCAACAACUAUAGUGAAAGUGUGUGAAAUCAUCAUAAUCAAGUAAACACCAAACAACAGAUAAUGAUGACUAGUCAACUAUAAGGACACAAACCCAGAACUCAUACAAUGACGAGUCGACCACUAAGAACACAAACCCAGAAUUCAUACGAUGACUAGUCAACCACAAUUCAUACGAUGACUAGUCAACCUCCAAGAACACAAACCCAGAAUAAUUAUAGAGAUUCAAUCAGCAAUUGUUCACCCAGAAACCCACCAUUGGGAAAAACUAGGGGUUAUCAAUCGACCAGGUAAUCCACUAAGUAGAAAAGAUUCUUACAAAGGAACACAAGCAAGCUCAAAAAAAACCUAGAUCUAUUUAGGAAGAUGUCCUAUACCUCCUUUGUGCAAUCUUCUUCUCCAACUUAGCAAAGCUUGAAGCUCAGUUCUUCAUGGUGAUGGCAGCUCCUUCUCCAGCUCAUUCAUCCCAUGGCACCAUCUUGCAAGCUCUAACUCAGAUAGAAACCAAAAUUUGGAUUCAAAGGAGAAUGACAAAUUUCUUCAAGAAACCAUACUCUUGAAGAAAUCAAUCUUGAAUCUGACGUAGAUAUAUAUGAGAGAGUGUUUGAUCUAGCAUGAUGAGGUUUUCGUAUUUCAAAUGCAGUUUUCAAAAAGAAACAUUUUGGAAAACUCAAAGAUGAAAAUAUGAAGGUUACACUUGAGGAAGAAGAAAAAGUUUAUAGAGAAACUUUCCAAAACUUGCCUCCAAAAGUGACGACUGCCAAAUGAGGAAUCCUUUGGCCUUUACACCCAAAAAUUCCUUAGGUUAGAAUCGACACAUGGCAGCAAAGAGAGAAAGGAGAAUAUGAUAAAAUAGUUGGUUAUCCAGCUGGAAAUUCUACAAAGCAAGGAUGACUAGUCAUACGAGAAACAGAUGACUAGUCAUCAUUUUAUGAAAUCAACUUAAUGCAAUGUGAUGCAAUGCAUAAUUUACCUUUGUCAAUUUGCUUGAACUUCCGUAGGAUAGUUGUUAGUUAAGAACACCUAGAGAAGCUAUUCUUAAUCUAAACUUGAGCUUGAUAAAAACAAUAAAAAUGCAAUUAUAAAAUUGUCAAGAGAAGCCAAAAGAAAAACUCAAAAUGCAUACAUUAACACCUUUUGGUCACUUUUAUGAUUUUUUUUAAUAUGGAAAAUUUAUUGAUUAUUGGAAUUUUCUGGUGCUGACUCCAAAUGCCUUUGAAGUCAAUAGUUUAAUGGACAAUUCAAUAGUUUACCUUUGAAGUCAAAGGCAUUGACCAUGGGAUAUUUGCCAAAUAUGCAGUUUCUUUUGGUUUUGAUUAACUUUCUGCCAAUUAUCCAUAUCUCUAAAGUUUGUAACUUUACACCAAAAUAAUUAAUUAUAUUCAUAUUUGGAGUUGUGGUUUGUAUGAGAAUGACUUUUGAUGAAAUUUUCGAAAAUAAAUAUAUGAAUAUGUUUGAAAGCUUACGCAACACCAAUUGGAACAGUCCACUAGUGAAAAGCAAUGUACGCAAAGCAUACAGACGAUGUCGUCUAUGACCCCAUGAAUCACAGUACAAACAAAGACACGACAGUAAACUGCCAUCUAAGAUCCAUCUAGACAACAGAUAAUAACUGAAUUCACCUUCUAGAUUUUAACUAGACAAAGAAAAUAGUAUGUUUCGGUCCAUUUAAACUCACAUGGAGGAUCGUUUUGUACUCUAGAAUCGUGAUCUGAUAAACGAUUAACAGAUGACGGCGAUAAACUGUCAUAUGACGCCUUGUAACUAACGGCAUACAUUGUUGUCUAUGACUUUUUUUGUUCUAGUAAGUGUUGAACUAGAGGAACUGUAGCUUUUUAAUUAAUUUGGGAUAUCAAACGAUACAAGUACAUAUAAUGUGCCUUAGCUUUUAGCAAAUACAUAAGCACUGCACGUGGUUUUAUUAAUAACAUUCCGACAUUAAAGAUUUCUUUUUUUCUUUUUUUUUCUUUUUGAAAUGACAUUAAAGAAACAAUAGAUUUAAGGUUGAAUGCUGAAUUAUGAAUUGCAUCCCUUGCAAGCUGAUCUUUCUUUCAACAUCUUAAGGCCAGCAUACCUGCCCAAAAAUUCAAGGGAAAAACAACGGCAACAUAUCAGAGUUUCAUUCAAAUAGAUGGUUAGAUAAUUUCUUGCGGUUGUAUUUAAGUGUACAGAGCAUACCUGCCUAAGAUCAUGAGGGUGGCUUGAGGAUUGGUCCCUGGUGACAAAUUAAAUGUAGAGCCAUCAACAACACGUAAUGCAUUGAUUCCCAUGACUCGCAAAUCUCCAUCCACCACCUUUCCCAUUAGGCAUCCCCCAUGAUAGUGCCAAAAUGUGGCUGUGGUUUCUCGACAAAAUCUUUCAAAGGAUGCGUUAUCUGUUUGGUUCAUUGGUACAGGUAGUCCAAAAGAGUUGAAACCUUCUACAGCCGGCAAAUCUUGAGUCUUAAAUGGUUUCAAUGAGUUUUUUCUUAAUAAAUGGCCAAUCUUCCUUGUGCCACUAACACAGCGAGCAAGGUCCAGCGGAUGUGCAAUGCAUAGUAGUUGAAGCGGACAUUAGACCAACUUUGACAUCAUGAUUGCAAUGUAAGAGAACCAUAGGACGAGGGUCCUGGAAAUUUGCCUACAAUAUGUCCGAAAGUUGAAUCUAUUUUUAUGCGAACAGAUGGAUGAGGAAAAAGACUAAAGGGCGUGGAAGAAAAUGGCGGGCCGGCGAGAGUCUCUACGUAGAAAUCCUUUGUGAUACUAACAGUCUGUCCACCAGAGGGAACCAGUGGAGAUGGGGGCAAAAUUGUAAUGUAAUAGCGAGGAUUAUCACGCAUAGACUGCCCAAUGUUAGGCUCAUGGUGAACAACUGGGAUUUUGAUAGAUGAAAGGUAGGACUUUGGGCCAACACCACUAAGUAGCAGAGGUUGAGGGCUUCCAAUUGUCCCGGCACUCAAUAUAACUUCUCCCUUUCCACGCACAAAUGCCUUAAGGAGAUAUUGAUUUACCAUGAUCAGAUGGAGUGGCGAAUGAGUGAACCUCAGUCUGAGGAUAGAAGACAGACAGGUAGAAAAGAUAAUAAUAAUAUAACACUAUUUCUUGACUUUUCCAUGUUUUUGUAGCCAGACAGACCUUUUUUCUCCUAAAAAACAAAAAUAAAAAACAGUUUUGUGAUACAACAAAUUAAUACAAUGCAGCGGUGUGACAAUCCGAUUUUAAUCGGUGCUGUUUUGUCAAAUUGGAUUAGAUAUAUAAUUUUCAAAACAAGCAUGAUUGGAUUGGAUGGCGGAUUUUCUUGUGAGAAUUCCAAUCGAAUCCAUACAAAUUCAAUCAAAUCUAGUUAGUUUCAUCUUUUCUUUUUUUUUUUUUUCUCUCUCUUGCUGGUAUUUGGAACUCAAAAAGUUAAGAAACAUUUUCAGUGAUAUGAAAUGUUGAAUAUAUUAUAGAAUCAAUUCUCUUUGCAUUUAAAUUGUCUUAUACAUUUACGUUUAGUCAUGCCCUAGAGUAGAAAUUCCGAACCCAGUGCGUGGAAAUAAAAAAGUAAAAUAAAGAAAAACACUUAAAUAGCUUUUCUCUCUUAUGAAAAUAACUCUAAAAUCUUACAAGUGUGUCUUAAAUAAAUAAAGUUCUAUCCCUCUCAUCUAAUUCAACCUUAGCUAGUUUAGUUGUUGUGUUGCCCACUAAUACAUCUAAAAAUAAUAAUUAAAAAAAAAUGAGGGAUGAGCAAACCAGAGCCCAGUCAUGAGUAGAUUGUGUAAUGUGUCAGUCCAGCAAUGUCAAUUGAUGAUAGAGAAAACUUUAUUUCAAAAUGUAAGUUAUGAUUUACCUUAGAUCAAAUUAAUUUAUAUGGCCACGAUCUUCUCAGGCACAAUGGCAUGGAAUUUGCACAAAUCUUCGAGGCCUUCUUACACAGAAGUGGAGUUUAAAACACAGAAAUGGAGUUUAAAUCACAGAAAUGGAGUUUUCUUUUGAUAUCAAGGACUCUGAGUCCUUCUUUUAUCCAUGGCUACAACUUAGGCACAUUCGAAGAUGUGGCCGGUGCCUAAAUUUUAGUUAUAGUUGGUAUUUAGAUGACAAGUACUUAGUUCUAUUAGAGAUGACAGGUAUUAUAGUUCCAUAUCAGCCAGAAAUAUAGUGGUCCAUAUAUAUGCACCGGACUAAAGAAACGAAACAGCAAAAAGAAAAAGAAAAAUACCGGCGCAUGGAACACAACUCGCAUUGACAGCGCAAAUGAAAUGUGCAAGUUGAAAGGAAACUGCUAUUUAAAGCAGUUGAUGAGCAGUUGACGGUGUCGUGUGGCCACCUCCUUAUUAAAUCAAAGCUGGCAACUUGUGUGUUGUGCUGUAAUUUUCACUUUUAUGCUCGAGUCAGUUGUGGCGAUUUGAUAAGAUUUGAUAAGGAGUUACAUGGGAUUAAAUAGGAGUUAUUUUGCACUCACAUGAGUUAUUUUGCAUCAUUAGCCCAUACUGCUCCCGAAAGAAUACCUAUGGUUGAAAAGAUAAGGGAGAUUCACUAUUAUACCCAAUAUGGGGGCCAAAAUUAUAAAAAUACCCUAUAUAAAAUGGACUUUAGAAACACACCCAAAGUCCAUUUACAACAUAACAAAAAAGCUUUUAACUUCUUAUAAAUUACAAAACUGCCAUCAAUUUCUUAAAACAAGCCCAACCCCAAAAUCUCAUAAAAAUACCCAAAGCACUCAAUAGGGCAUCAAAGUAAUUUAAUAAUUAAUAUUAAAUUCAAUAAGGCCAGCUAUCAUUUUUUGGGUUUUUUUUGGGUUUGUUUAUAGGAAUUCAAUUGUGUAGGGUUUAUUUAUAAUAUUAGUGCUAGAAAUGGGUAUAUCACUAAAUAUCUCAAAAGAUAAACCCUACACUAAUAAUACGAAAACAUCACCGAUCCAAUUGUUGAAUCAAUUGAUAUCUAGAGGAUUUUGAGGUUGAUCGUAGUUUACAAGAGAUGCUUACUUAUAAAUUUGAUCAUAUUAGAGCUCGCCAAGUACUUGCCCACCACCCACAAGCAACCCUCCACACCCAGACCCAGACCCAUUACCCCCGGCAUAGUUUUCUUCUCCCCCAUCCACCACAACAUACUUCUCCCACCUUCUUAUUUUUUUACCCCUUCAUGCAUGUAGGAUUGUCCCAAAUGACAUCAAGAAUACACUACUUAGGGGUUGUUUGAUAACUAUUUCAUUUUGUAGUUUUCAGUUUUCAGUUUCACUUUUUUUUCUUUUUCUUUUUUAUAACUGAAAACUAAAGACAUGCUUGCUAACAGAUUUCGUUUUCUAUUUUCAAAAUCACCCAUAUAUUUUAAAACAACUUGAUAUUGCCUCACUUCCACCCCGAACAAUUUUUUAAAUUUCCUGACUCUUUGUUCUUAAGAAUGUUGGUUCUAAGAAUGAGUGAUUUCCCUUCUUCAACCCUUUUGGCCCAACCUGAAAGCACACAGCUAAUGCGGUACACUUAUUGAACAGGGUUCUAUGGUCGGUCUACGACCCCUAGAUGUCGAAGGAGUCUUUGGGGUGAUCUCGUAGUUCCUACAAAGGGGGGAUGAUGGGGUUGGUCCAUGGAUUUUUCUUCCUUUCAACGCAUUUCGCUCAAAGGGUUGAAGGAAGAUAGUGAAUCAAGCUAUUCACAAGGACCAACUUGAUCCUAUCCUAGAUGAGAAAACCUUAGGAGGUAAGAUGGGCAGUUGGUCAGAUCUAGGAGGUGCUUCUCCCUAAAACCACUUAAAAUUACUAAAAUUUAUUAUAGGGAGAAGUGAUUCUCUAUAAAAGUUAUUUUGGCCUAUCCGAAAUCACUCCCAAAUGAGCCAUAGUCUGUCUUAAAAAUUAAUUCAUGGUAUGGGCCCCAUUUUCUUUAAAAAUAUUAAAAAUUAAUAUGGUAUUUUACAUUUCGGGUGGAAUUAACAAUUUUACAAGGUUUCAAAUUGCCACCUAGACUAUCAAAUCCAAAUUAACAUUUUGCAUUUUACUUCUACCUUGGAGAUGUACUUAUAGCUAGGAAAUGAACGGCUAAGAUGCACUUGCCCAUAUUAUCCAACAGCCACCAAAAAAAAUUAAAAAAUUAAAAAGAGUUCCAGUCAUACAAAAUGUUCAUAAAGAAAAAUGUGUUCACAAAAAAUGAAACAUAAAAAAUUCCAAUUCUAUGAGGGGAAAUUUUAUGUGGUUGGAAUUUGUAUUUUUUUUGUUCUCGAAAUGUUUAUAAAACAAGAUAAAAUUUAAAAAAUUUAACUCAAGAAAGUUAGCACAAAAUUAAAUUAUUAUAGUCUCUAAAUGGGUCUCUAAAAGUGGUGGAAUCAGAAGCAUGGUAUUAUUGUGGUUGUAUAUCUUUGGCCUAGGCUCGGAGUUGGUGAACGCUUUGGAUUGAACUCUUGCAGUUCAUUACUCUCCAUCGGGUUUGAUUUUAUGGCCUGGUCUUGUGAAAUGAGAAAAUUAUUAUUAGCUAACGAUAUUCUAUUUUUAUUUAAUCUCAAUUAUAGAAAAGGGGAUUCAAAUUUGAGUGCAAAAUAGAGAGUAUAUCCGCUCUAACAAACUUGGAUAAGUUCAUAUCUGCAUUAUUAGCUCUUAGCUUUGUUGUUUUCAUGGGCACUAAUUAUGGGAAGGUAAUGAAGUUGCAUAUAUUGUUUAGCCAACUUUGCUCAUGAUCUGUGCAGCCAUGGCUUAUCCACAGAAUCUCUUGGGGGGUUACCUACGUGUAUAGGUUCAACUGAGCUACUUUCCUUCUAAUUUCUUCGUAUGUGUUCAUCUUCUCUUAUAAUAAAAAAAAAAAAAUUUCUUUUUUUCUUUUUCCAUUGAAUUACGAAAACUGCAGCUUUAUAAUUUUGGGGGGAGUUAAAAUAUUAUAUGAAAAAAAUACUAAAUUGGUCCGAGCCGCCUGAGGUCGAUUUGGUCAACGGAUCAGGCCCUACACAAUCGAUUUGGUCAACGGUCGACUUGUAUGUGUAUUCCAGUAAUUAAUUCGAUAACUCAAAUGAUACAAGUAAAUAUAACUCUAUAUAAUGGUGAAAUUAUUCAGUAUAAAACACUACACAAUCGGUUUUAUUAAUCUUCCACCCACUGCCGACUAAUUGAAAUGCCUUGCAAGCUUAUCUUUCUUUCAGCAUCUUAACGCCAAUAUACCUGCCCAAAGCACAAAAUUGAAGGGAAAAAGAAUAGCAGCUUAUCAGAUUUCAUCACGAAAAACCCAUAUGACUAAUUAAUUUCAUCACGAUAUAUUCAGACUCAGUAUGUUAAUAUUAUAUAGUUAAAUAUUGGUCUCUUUAUUAUAUAUCAUACCUGCCCAACAUCAUGAGGGUGGCUUGAGGAUUGGUCCCUGGUGAGAAUUUGAAUGUGGAUCCAUCAACAACACGUAAGGAAUUGAUCCCCUUGACUCGUAAAUCCCCAUCAACCACCUUUCCCACAAGGCAUCCCCCAUGGUAGUGCCAAAAUGUGGCUACUGUCUCUCGACAAAAUGUUUCCACGGAUGCGGUAUCUGUAAGGUUCAUUGGUAAUGGCGGUCCGAAAAAGUUGAAACCAUCUAUACCAGGCAAAUCUUGAGCCUUAAAUGGUUUCAACGAAUUUGUGCUUAAUAAAUCACCAAUCUUCCUUGUGGCACUAACACAACGAGCAAGAUCCAGCGGAUUUGCAAAGUAGUUGAAGCGGACAUUUGGACCGACUUUGACAUCAUAGGACGACUGCAGCCUAAGCGAACCAUAGGACAAGGGUCCUGGAAUUUUGUACACAAUUUGUCCGAAAGUUGAAUUUAUCUUUGUGGAGAAAGAUGGAUCAGGAAAAACACUAAAUGGUGGAGUAGAAAAUGGUAACCCCGAGAAAGUCUCUAUGUAGAAAUCGCUUGUGAUACCAACAAUCUGUGCACUAGAGGCAUCCAGUUGAAAUGGAGGCAAAAUUGUGAUGUAAUUACGAGGAUUAUCACGCAUAAAUUGUCCAAUGUAAGGCUCGGGGUGAACGACUGGGAUUUUGAUAGAUGAAAGGUAGGACUCUGGGCCAACACCACUAAGUAGCAGGAGUUGAGUGCUUCCAAUUGCCCCGGCGCUCAAUAUAACCUCUCCCUUACCACGUAUGAAGGCCUUAUGUGACCUCCCUUUAGAAUCACUAUACACGAUUCCUCUAGCAGACAAACCUGCAUGGUUAGAAAAGAUUGUAGUUAUUAUCGAAUUAUUGAAAACCGAAGAUAUCAAUUAACUCUUAAUCUAAUGGUAUUUUUCCUGUCAAUGUUCGAAUAUCGUGC